rnacentral:rRNA from 1 species
UCUUUUCUUUUUUUCGAGCAGCCGCGGUAAUACGUAGGUGGCAAGCGUUGUCCGGAAUUAUUGGGCGUAAAGCGCGCGCAGGCGGCUUUCUAAGUCCAUCUUAAAAGUGCGGGGCUUAACCCCGUGAUGGGAUGGAAACUGGAAAGCUGGAGUAUCGGAGAGGAAAGUGGAAUUCCUAGUGUAGCGGUGAAAUGCGUAGAGAUUAGGAAGAACACCGGUGGCGAAGGCGACUUUCUGGACGACAACUGACGCUGAGGCGCGAAAGCGUGGGGAGCAAACAGG